rnacentral:snRNA from 1 species
GUGCUUGCUUUGGCAGCACAUAUACUAAAAUUAGAAUGAUACAGAGAAGAUUAGAAUGGCCACUGUGCAAGGAUGACACACAAAUCUGUCUGGAAUUUCAUAUUUUU